AGCCCCGAGGUGAAUUUCAUGUUGAAUUGCAAAUUCAAAGGAGCAGUCUAGAUUUCUGCCGGGGCUU
rnacentral:tRNA from 1 species